rnacentral:rRNA from 1 species
UACAGAGGGUGCAAGCGUUUAAUCGGAAUUACUGGGCGUAAAGCGUGCGUAGACGGUUAUGUAAGUCAGAUGUGAAAGCCCCGGGCUUAACCUGGGAAUGGCAUUUGAGACUGCAUAGCUAGGGUGCGGAAGAGGGAAGCGGAAUUUCCGGUGUAGCGGUGAAAUGCGUAGAUAUCGGAAGGAACACCAGUGGCGAAAGCGGCUUCCUGGUCCAGCACCGACGUUCAGGCACGAAAGCGUGGGGAGCAAACAGGG